CCUACGGGGGGCAGCAGUGGGGAAUUUUGCGCAAUGCUCGUAAGAGUGACGCAGCGACGCCGCGUGAAUGACGAAGGUACAGCGUAUCGUAAACCUCUUUUGUCAGGGAACAAAGGCGGGGACUAGUCCCCGGAUGAGGGUACCUGAAGAAAAAGCAUCGGCUAACUCCGUGCCAGCAGCCGCGGUAAUACGGAGGAUGCGAGCGUUAUCCGGAUUUAUUGGGUUUAAAGGGUGCGCAGGCGGCCUGUUAAGUCAGCGGUAAAAGCCCGGGGCUCAACCCCGGCGAGCCGUUGAAACUGGCGGGCUGGAGUUGGAGAGAAGUACGCGGAAUGCGCGGUGUAGCGGUGAAAUGCUUAGAUAUCGCGCAGAACCCCGAUUGCGAAGGCAGCGUACCGGCUCCACACUGACGCUGAGGCACGAAAGCGUGGGUAUCGAACAGGAUUAGAUACCCGGGUAGUC
rnacentral:rRNA from 1 species